UUUAAUGUAUUAAUUGAAAAUUUUAAUGUUAUUUUUUGUAAUUUUACCGUGAUGUAAAGCUUAAUUUUACUGUAUAGUAAUUUGAUGUUAAUUAUUAAUGUUGACCUGUAAAUUGGAUUUAUAAAAUAAAUUACUAUGACUAUGACUAUGACAAUGCAAUAUUAUGAUGAUAUGGAUCUGAUCUGAUGAUGGACACAGGUGGGAGCCAUAGGAACAAUGUGAUAAAACCACGCAACCUUGUGUUUGGAUUUGAUAGAAUUGUCUCCAUGAGUAUUAGCUACCUGUUAAAAGAAAAGUACCUACAAUCAAACGAUAAAAGCUUGUAUCCAAUUUUUUUUUGAUAAAUACUUAUAUGAUAUUCACAAGGAAGACGCACGCGCGUUGCCGACCCUAAAAACUUACAAGGAUUUCCCCUUUGGAGCACUUACUUACUACCAUUCACUUAUUUUAACCCAUGUAUAGGUAAAAAACGUAACUAAGUCACCUGUUGUAUGUAGUUGUGGCGUGUUCGAAUAGACGAUACAUGUUUAAAAGACACACGCAAACAUGUCACAACUACAUACAACAGGUGACUUAGGUACUUAAGUUUUUUACCUAUAUAUUUACUUCAUUUUCAUUACUGCAUAUAAUAAAACAAAAUGGUAAAAACUAAUCUAAAUUAAAAUAUAUCUAAAUAAGGCCCCCGCGGCAUUGUGCCAAAGAUGCUGGCAGCAUUCCCUCGCUUAAUGGCAAUACUUAUGCGCUGCGAGAGAAAGCUGCCAGCUCUCUGGUCACCGGUAGAGUCUAUGAGCCUUUUACUCAUUUCCUUAAAUAGUAUCAUGGCGCUUGGACCCCACGGCCCUAGUGUCUCGACUCCAAACGCCACAAAGUGGUAUUGGGGGCCGAGACUUCGAUAUUUGGAAACCUUUUUGGUUUCAGCCGCCUCGGCAGCUGCCCCAGCCUUGGCCGAAGUUCUUGGUAGAUGGGACGGUGCCAGUGUAUCGACGCAUGUGGCGUCCCAGACUAGCACUCGACCCAUCUUACAUGGGACCAGGGUCAUACCGUCCGGUCUCUUGCCAUCGUCCCUCGAAACGCCGUUUGGUUCAAGGAUUGCCGGCGCGUUGACGGUAGCAAGAGAUCAGCGGAUGAUAUCGUUUAGGGCAGCGUGCCUGGAGAGGCGACCGGCACUUAAUUGACAACAAAGGCCGUGGUGUCCAAGCACGUGGACGGUUGCGCCGCAGGGACAUCUGUGGGGUGCGCAGACCUUUACUCCUAAUCUAAGGCUUGCGGCUAAACGGAGGGUAUCCGGCUCUAGAUAUGUACCGGUGGGGGGGAGGGGUAGGCAUGCAGCCACUGGCCGGAUUCUAGUUCUGCAGCUGCGAGGAGCCGCGCGCGUGUAGGACCAACUGAGCUGGAAAGUAGUUUAUCAAAGUUAAUUUUGCACAAAGUGUCGUCCCAGCAACGUUGAAUGUUUAAUUUUGAAGGUAAAUUUUGACCCGGACAAGCCGUCAGCCAGGCGUUUCUGGCCUCCGUCAAGCACGCCGUCUCGUAGUUUAAAGUGCAGGCCUUUAAUAUUUUUCCUACGAGGGAGGACGUGCCAUGGACGGAAGAUAGAAACGCUGGUAAAGCAACACUAGAAAUUUUGCGCGUACCCAGCCCGCCGAAUCUGAUGGGCAGGGACGCCUGGUUCCAAGAAUGCUCGCUAAGUUGUAUAUUUAGAAUGGAUUCUAGGGAAGAUCUAAUAAGGUUGUCAAUCGGUGUUAAGGAGUUUUGGUGUUUCCAAAAUGGACAGCA